UUCAACUUGGUUUGUCAGUGGGCUCUUUCUUAUCUGUUGAUAGUGCAGACAAGAAUGAAACAAAAGAUCAAGCAACUGAUGUCCUGUGCUUGAGUUCAGAAGAAUGUUUUUUGAAAGGAGAUGAAAUUGAAGCCAAUGCUUGUAAGUACAAUGCCAGAGUGGCUGGUGGAAAGAGAAAGCAUG